GGCGCGCGCGCAAUAACAUCACAAGUCCGUAGCCUACCUUCCGUGUGACAGCUGGAGGAGAGGAUGGUGCUUGAGGGUCUGAAGAGGUAUACAGACUAGGAGGCAUACAAAGACUUCACCCUCCCUACACCUCUGAUGAAUAUAACAGGAAACCUGUUCGAUCACCAUGCACUGCAAAAUCAUUCUGGCUAUGGAUACGGAGAACAUCAACACAUUUAACAUCAACAUACCAGAGGAUAUACCCAUUGGACAUGGGUCUCUGCUGUGAGUUUACCUCAUAUUUGGAUUUUUAAAUUCUGCU